CAAAUGGGAAUGGCUUCACAGUGACGGAGAGCUGGCUUAGAUCGGCUGUUGGGGGGAAAUUCUUCCCUGUGAGGGCGGGGAGGCCCUGGCACAGGAUGCCCAGAGAAGCUGUGGCUGCCCCAUCCCCGGCACUGUCCCAGGCCAGGUUGGACGGGGCUUGGAGCAACCUGGGAUAGUGGAAGGUGUCCCUGCCCAUGGCAGGGGGUGGCACUGGCUCAUCCUUAAGGCCCCUGCCAAGCCAAUCCAUUCCAUGAUUCUACAGACUUAUGGCUCUGCGACAGAGUCAUUUGGUGACAGCAUCACCUGAACUCUGGUUUGCUGAGAGCUCUGAUGCCAAGCACCGCCACAGUGACACGAGCACUGCUACAGUGACAUGGGCAGCACCACUGUGACACAAGAACCGCCACACCAACACCUCAGGUUUGUGUCCCAGGCGACUGCAGCCAGUCCUGCCUCGCCAUGGACCUGGUGAUGCGUCUCGUGCGCGCUCUGCUGCUGCUGGCCCUGCUGCUGGCAGUGGCCCCCUCCCCAGGAGUGUCCAAGGAGUUCUGCCCACAGCCCUGCCGCUGCGCAGGGCGUGGGCUGCUGGACUGCCGCCACGCCGGCCUGGCCACCGUGCCCCCGGCCAGCCGCCGCCGGGCCCUCGCCGUGCUAGAUUUCACUGGCAACUCCAUUGCUGAGAUUGGAAAACGAGCCUGGAAGAACUACCCGUGGGCUGAGACCUUAGUGCUCAGGGACAAUGAGCUGCGGGCAGUGAAGAGCCAUUCCCUGCAGGGGCUGUUCCUGCUGAAGCACCUGUAAGCACCGUGCCCUGCCCAGGACAGGGGGCUCCUGCCUGCCCCUCCCUGGGGCCCUGCUGCUCAGCCCAGCCCCGGGCAAGUGGCCUUGGUCCCUCCGAGGAUGCAGGCUGCAGAGGCAAAUAAAAGCAACAGGGCAAAUGGAAGUGACAUUUGGUGUUCUGACUGGAACAGGGAUUUGUCUGGCAAUGAGAUCGUGUCCAUUGAGGAACGUGCUAUUGAGCCACUGCCUUUCCUGAAGCUUCU
rnacentral:lncRNA from 1 species